UGGCAGUGCGCUGCUAUACAUGCAGUCGAGCGGAGUUAUUCCUUCGGGGAUAGCUUAGCGGCGGACGGGUGAGUAACACGUAGGCAACCUGCCUGUAAGACCGGGAUAACAUUCGGAAACGAAUGCUAAUACCGGAUACCCAGUUUCCUCGCAUGGGGAGAUUGGGAAAGACGGUGCAAGCUGUCACUUACAGAUGGGCCUGCGGUGCAUUAGCUAGUUGGUGGGGUAACGGCUCACCAAGGCGACAAUGCAAAGCCGACCUGAGAGGGUGAUCGGCCACACUGGGACUGAGACACGGCCCAAACUCCUACGGGAGGCAGCAGUAGGGAAUCUUCCGCAAUGGACGAAAGUCUGACGGACCAACGCCGCGUGAGUGAUGAAGGUUUUCGGAUCGUAAAGCUCUGUUGCCAGGGAAGAACAGCCGGGCGAGUAACUGCGCUUGGAAUGACGGUACCUGAGAAGAAAGCCCCGGCUAACUACGUGCCAGCAGCCGCGGUAAUACGUAGGGGGCAAGCGUUGUCCGGAAUUAUUGGGCGUAAAGCGCGCGCAGGCGGCUUUGUAAGUCUGGUGUUUAAUCUCAGAGCUCAACUCUGAUUCGCAUCGGAGACUGCAAGGCUUGAGUACAGAAGAGGAGAGUGGAAUUCCACGUGUAGCGGUGAAAUGCGUAGAGAUGUGGAGGAACACCAGUGGCGAAGGCGACUUUCUGGGCUGUAACUGACGCUGAGGCGCGAAAGCGUGGGGAGCAGACAGGAUUAGAUACCCUGGUAGUCCACGCCGUAAACGAUGAAUGCUAGGUGUUAGGGGUUUCGAUACCCUUGGUGCCGAAGUUAACACAUUAAGCAUUCCGCCUGGCGAGUACGCUCGCAAGAGUGAAACUCAGAGGAAUUGACGGGGACCCGCACAAGCAGUGGAGUAUGUGGUUUAAUUCGAAGCAACGCGAAGAACCUUACCAGCUCUUGACAUCCCUCUGAAUGCAUUGGAGACAGUGCAAGCCUUCGGGACAGAGGAAACAGGUGGUGCAUGGUUGUCCUCACCUCGUGUCCUGAGAUGUUGGGUUAAGUCCCGCAACCAACCGCACCCCUUGAUCUUAUGUUGCCAACAUGUUAAGGGUGGGCACCUUAAGGGGACUGGCGGGGGAACAACCGG
rnacentral:rRNA from 1 species